GCUGCGUCCCCGCCGGACCCCGGGGGGCGGAGCGAGAGCCCGGGCACGGCGGCAUUCUCCGGCGCGGCCGUCGCCGGGCUGCUCCAUGGAGAAGCGGGGCCCGGUGCUGCACAUCGUGGUGGUGGGCUUCCAUCACAAGAAGGGCUGCCAGGUUGAAUUUUCAUAUCCUCCCCUAAAACCUGGAGAAGGACAUGACAGCCACAGUUUACCAGAGGAGUGGAAGUACUUGCCAUUCCUUGCCUUACCGGAUGGCGCUCACAACUAUCAGGAAGAUACUGUGUUUUUCCACCUGCCUCCGAGAUGCGGGGAUCGAACCACAGUGUAUGGCGUCUCCUGCUAUCGGCAGAUUGAAGCAAAGGCAUUAAAAGUACGGCAAGCAGACAUCACCCGAGAAACUGUACAGAAAAGUGUCUGUGUUCUCAGCCAGCUGCCUUUGUAUGGGUUACUUCAGGCAAAGCUGCAACUCAUCACACAUGCAUAUUUUGAAGAAAAAGACUUCUCACAAAUUUCAAUUCUAAAGGAACUUUAUGAUCAUAUGAAUAGUUCCUUGGGCAAUACUUCAUUAGAAGGGUCACAAGUUUAUCUUGGUCUGUCUCCUCGGGAUCUUGUUCUCCAUUUUAGACACAAGGUCUUGAUCCUUUUUAAAUUGAUUCUUCUAGAGAAAAAGGUGCUGUUUUAUAUUUCUCCUGUAAAUAGAUUGGUGGGAGCUCUGAUGACUGUCUUGUCACUCUUUCCUGGUAUGAUUGAACAUGGUCUUAGUGACUGCUCACAGUACAGACCGAGAAAGAGCAUAUCAGAGGAUGCUGGCUUGCAGGAAAAUCCACCACAGUUUGAUGACUAUGUUUCUGUGUCUGCUGCUGAGGCUGCAAAUGCAAAUUUAGGAAUGGGAAAGGGAGACAGGAAGAUGACAGGAGAUAAUUCACUGGGAGGUCAAAAAGCAAACGUGCCUUUCUCCCAGGCCGAGAAGACUUGCAGUGGAGCUCAGUCCUCCAACGGUACUGUGCAGCGCUUGAAAGUUCCUUCCCGUGCUUCUCCAGCAUCCUCAGAAAGUGACUGGGAGACCCUGGAUCCCAGCGUUUUGGAGGAGUCUAAUUUGAAAGAAGGAGAACGCGAGAAUGCAGCGUCAGAACAGGCGGGAGAUGUUCGGAGCAAAGGCGUGAGCUCCGAAGGCCUUCCCAUCACUGUGCAGCCCCAGGCAAACACGGGGCACACGGUGCUUGUUCAGGGACUGGUGUCUGGGUUGGAAGAGGACCAGUAUGGGAUGCCACUGGCUAUUUUUACAAAGGGGUACCUCUGUUUGCCGUACAUGGCGCUGCAGCAGCAUCAUCUCCUGUCGGAUGUGACAGUCCGCGGCUUUGUGGCAGGAGCUACCAAUAUCCUGUUCCGUCAGCAGAAGCACCUGAGUGAUGCAAUUGUGGAAAUAGAAGAUGCUCAGGUGCAAAUCCACGAUCCAGAACUCCGUAAGAUCCUGAACCCAACAACUGCUGACCUGAGAUUUUCAGAUUACUUGGUGAAGCAUGUAACUGAGAACAGAGAUGAUGUGUUCCUUGAUGGCACUGGAUGGGAAGGAGGAGAUGAGUGGAUCAGGGCUCAGUUCAGUGCUUAUCUUCAUGCACUGCUUGCUGCUGUGCUGCAACCAGACAAUGAAAAGAUUUUGUCAGACUUUGGAACAGGAUUUGUAACGGCCUGGAAAAAUACCCACAACUACAGAGUAUGGAAUAGUAACAAGCAUCCAGCUCUUGCAGAGGUAAAUUCUAGCCAUCCAUUCCAGGGACAGUACUCUGUAUCAGAUGUUAAGUUAAGGUUGUCACAUAUCUUUCUUGUUCAGUUCAGUGCAAAACAGUGAACGUGGAAAGAAGAUUGGAAAUGUGAUGGUUUCUACCAGCCGGAAUGUGGUACAAACUGGAAAAGCUGUAGGUCAGUCUGUUGGAGGAGCCUUCACAAGUGCAAAAUCAGCAAUGUCAUCAUGGUUUUCCACUUUCACACACUCAACCCAAAGCCUUGGGGACUAAAUGCUGGUUUGGCAGAAUGCUGCUGACUAUUUCAGGUGCAAUCUUUCUCUGAGCUGUAAAAAGACCGCUCCAAAAUGUAGGAGUGGAGGUUACCUACCCAGGACCAAAAUAAGAUAUAUGUUGCUUGCAAGCAGAUGUGGAAUGUUAUUAUUCACUUUCCCUAGAAGUACAGAAGAAUGGUGAGUGUCACCAUACAGUGGGAUGGCAUUUGCAGUGUAUUGGUUAUAUUUAAAAUGACUACUUCUCUUCAAAACUGAGCCUUUAUAAAGACAUUAGCAAAUGGGGCUUGUUGCAAGCCAAAUGUGUUUGACUUUAGAUUUGUACAUUUUCUUGGAUGUUGAAGAUAUUUAUGUAAAGUAGUUCUAUUUUUCAAUCCAGAUAGCCAAAUGUUUGUGAAUUCUUGUUAGAAAUGAGCAGAAUAUAAAUAAUAAUUCCUCUUUUAGGUUGGAUUUGAGAGAAUCUCUGCAACCCUUAAAGGGUGGAACUUUCACGCUUUUAGCUGCAAAUUAAAAUCAACAAGGUGCAGAGUAAGACUGUGGCUGACAAGAGGUUUUUUUUCCCUCUAUUGCCUGUAUCCAUAUAGAGUUGUUUGAAUUAAUCUAUCUCUAGCUCUCUUUAUGUCUUCAAAUCUGUGUAACAGUUGCAAAAUCAGUAGUUUUUUUCAUGUUAUGCAGUAGGCCUUCAUACCUUUGUCUAUGUUUUGUCUGAGUUUUUCCCCAGGACAUGAAUGGGAUUCCAGUUGGAGAUAUCUCUUCAGGGAAAGAAUUACAAAGCAUUUCUCCCAAACUGGGAUUGGAUCAUAGAUAAUUUUGUAAGUUAGGAUGUCAUUACAACAUUAAUGUAGUUGCAUACAUAUGAAUAUGAAGUAUUAAACCCACCCAAAGCUAGCACAGUAGCAAACUCUGUGUGGUGGUUUUUUUUUUUUGGUUUUUUUUUCCCAGUAAAGUUAUGAGGACUCUUCCAAAUGAAAAUCAGCUAUGGAUUUUCUGUGUCGACUCAGGGAAUGUGCUGUUUGGGUAAUUGCUUUUUUCAUAAGGAAAGAAACACUGGAAUUGAGAGUAACUAAAACAGCUCAGUUAGUAUCCUUGUGUGGAGAAAUAUAAGAGUUUAUUUGAAAAGAUGUGGCAUAAUGCUGUAUUUCCUAUGUAGCAUGCAUGUGGUGGUUUCUGUAUGCAAGCGUAUUGCACUUCCUACAUUUCUUGAUUCCAAGGGAAAUUAUUUCCUUUUUUCUUGCAAUGUGUGUGCCUCUAGAUGCCUUCUGACAUCCCCACAUGUUGCUCUCAACAUUUUCUAUAUUACAUUAUCCAGUGUUCCAACUUUUCUGUACCAAAAGCCUCUUAGUUUAUUGCCUCAUCAGUAUCUGUCAGCAUUUUGCCAUGUUCUUUUCUGUGGCCAAGAUUUGUAGUCAUGGUUAUAUUUCCUGUUCCUCAAAUAAAAUGCAGCAGCUGCACAAGAGAUAAACAAGAAGGCUCAAAUGUUUUUAGGAAAUUAUGUUUUAAUUCCUUCUAUGCAUUUGUAAAGUUAAUAGAAAAGCCACAUUUGCAUCACAUUGUCACUGUCCAGCCAGCUUGGUUGUCAGUUUUUUUGCUUCAGUGAUUUGAAAAGAUGGGAUCUGAUUUAAAGCCUUCUUUAAUUUUUUUCCCAGGACAGACUAGAUAGAAUGACUGUGGAAAACCUAAAGGCAAACAGCCAGUUUGAGUAGUUUGAUUUGAGAAGGGCAAAAAAGGCCCCUAAAACUCUACUAAUUUAUUGCUUCUGACACUCAAGUAAGAUGUAUUUAUCAAACUGCAGCUAUUGCUCGUGGUCUCUGUGUGUCUUUGUAUCUCUCCUCAAACUUCUGAUGCUCUUUGCUGUUUUAUUCCACAACUCUGUAAUAGACAUUUUUAUCUUUUUAAAGACUAGAUAUUAUUUAUAUGCAGUGAAUUAAGACUAGAGUUGUUUACUCGUGGUGUGUCUAGAGCUUUCUGAAUCAGCAUGCAGAUAAGAAAAUAACCCAAAAUAAACACUUGCUUUUGUGAAAUGACUAACAUAUUAUCUGCACUCUGGGAUUUAAGUGGUCACAGUCCAUGUUCUAAUGAAGACUGAAGAAAGGUGCAUAAAGGAUUUAAUCACCAGCAACUUAAAGCAUACCUAGGUAGAUUUAGGCUUAGGAGCUCACAAUGGCGAGUUCCAGAAGCCAGGCAAGUGGUUGGUAUUUACAUGUAGAAGCAGGACCUGAAAGGAUCCCUUUUCAAUAUCCUUGUCUUUGUUACCUCCACACCUGAGUUUUCUCUGUUGAAUUCUCAAAUCCUCUGAAUUUAUAUUGCCAAUUUAUUAGCUCUCUGCAUUCCCCUUAUUCCCACAGGUUCCCUCGCUGGGCUAGGAGUAUUAGAAAGCUGACCUUUGUUUGUUUUCUCAUGGAUUAAUCUGAGGAAAGACAGAAGGAGGUGCCCUCACUGGCUGCUUGUUGCUUUGUACCACGAUUCUGUUGUGAUACUUGACAAUUUUUCUCUUAUGGGCAAGAAGACCAGACAGAUCUUUCUCUGCAGCCUUUUUCUCACUGUCCCAGCUGUCUCUGUUGUGGAACCAAACAUACAACCUGAUUAAGAGUAUUUUCAUUUCCUUAUAAAUGACAGAAUAAAAAACUUUUCAGUCUUUUUAAGAACUGACACCCUGCUAGCAAGUUGGACUUGGUUUUAAACUCAGAUUUCAAGAGUGAUUAAGACUCAAUGAGUGGGUGGAGAUGAAGUGAUCUUCAUAAUUAGUUGUCUUCAUUAACAUCUACGUUUGCUCUCCAGCAUUUGCUUAAGCUUACUUUUGGGCUGUAGGAAGGCAUGCAGCCACUGAGGUUCAUCUAAGCUCAUGUAGUUCUCUUCUUAACUUAGUGCUUGUAACCUCUUUAGUUAAAUCCAAUGCAAAUGCUAGUUAUUUUCCUCUCCUCUGCUUUAAUGUUUCCAGUGCAGGCAUUACUAAUUAUUCAGAAAGAUUUAGGCAGUCGACUUCCAUUUCAAAAGCCCUGACAUCUGUUUCUGCACUGUAAGGAACAAAGGGUCCUAAGUGAAUUGGUGAUAGUGCCUCUAAUCAGUCAGCUGUGAAGGUAUUGUUAUGGCUCUGUCCUGAUUUGAUGUUGCAAAGGUAUUUCUGGCUGUCAGCAUGCAGCACACACUGACUUGCAGGUAACAGUAGCACACCUCUCAACUUUCUCUCAUCACAGGAGACAAGCUCAGCUUUUCGUAUGUGCCAGCAUUUGAGGAACUGCCUGUUGAGCAGAGAAAUGAGAUGUAAGUCCCCCAAACCCCACAAGACUUAAGUGUUGCUGACCUUAUGUUUCAUUUGACUGAAGUGUUCAGCAUCUUUCAACAGUCAUUUUCAUGUCAUAACCUUAAUUCCUGUACACAUCUCACACCAGUUUCCCAAAAUGCCACAAUUUAAUUAGAAUUUUUAGGUCAGUGUUCUGGUACAUUGCACUUGUUUGACUUUGUACUUCUGUUUUAAGCACCUUUGUAAUUAAAUGUAGUAUUUUGCCUAAACAAGCUUCUCAUUUCCAUACAAAUUAUUACGAAGCAGAUAAACUAAUGUGGCGGUAUUUAAUUGUAAAAGUGAAGGUGUGAAUGCAGUUUUUAAACAUAGGAACUACUGCUUGAUAAUUGAACAUACAAGUAAUGUAUUUGAUUUUUCCUGUGCUGCUUGAAAAAUAAAAUACAUCCAGCCUGUUUAAAGUUCCA